GCCGCGAAUUCCGCCCUUAGGGUUUGAUUAUGGCUCAGGAUGAACGCUAGCGGCAGGCCUAAUACAUGCAAGUCGGACGGGAUCCAUCGGCGAGCUUGCUCAAAGAUGGUGAGAGUGGCGCACGGGUGCGUAACGCGUGAGCAACCUACCUCUAUCAGGGGGAUAGCCUCUCGAAAGAGAGAUUAACACCGCAUAACAUCAACAGUUCGCAUGUUCGGUUGAUUAAAUAUUUAUAGGAUAGAGAUGGGCUCGCGUGACAUUAGCUAGUUGGUAGGGUAACGGCUUACCAAGGCGACGAUGUCUAGGGGCUCUGAGAGGAGAAUCCCCCACACUGGUACUGAGACACGGACCAGACUCCUACGGGAGGCAGCAGUAAGGAAUAUUGGUCAAUGGGCGGAAGCCUGAACCAGCCAUGCCGCGUGCAGGAUGACUGCCCUAUGGGUUGUAAACUGCUUUUGUCCAGGAAUAAACCCAGAUACGUGUAUCUGGCUGAAUGUACUGGAAGAAUAAGGAUCGGCUAACUCCGUGCCAGCAGCCGCGGUAAUACGGAGGAUCCGAGCGUUAUCCGGAUUUAUUGGGUUUAAAGGGUGCGUAGGCGGCCAAUUAAGUCAGGGGUGAAAUACGGUGGCUCAACCAUCGCAGUGCCUUUGAUACUGAUUGGCUUGAAUCCAUUUGAAGUGGGCGGAAUAAGACAAGUAGCGGUGAAAUGCAUAGAUAUGUCUUAGAACUCCGAUUGCGAAGGCAGCUCACUAAGCUGGUAUUGACGCUGAUGCACGAAAGCGUGGGGAUCGAACAGGAUUAGAUACCCUGGUAGUCCACGCCCUAAAC
rnacentral:rRNA from 1 species